AAACUGUUGCGAAAGCAUUCGGCAAGGAUGUUUCUUGAUCAAGAACGAAAGUAGGGGAUCGAAGACGAUCAAAUACCGUCGUAGUCUUAACCUUAAACUAUGCCGACUAGGGAUCAGUGGAUGUCAAUUUGCGACUCCAUUGGCACCUUGUGAGAAAUCAAAGUUUUUGGGUUCCGGGGGGAGUAUGGUCGCUAGGCUGAAAUUUAAAGGAAUUGACGGAAGGGCACUACCAGGAGUGGAGCCUGCGGCUUAAUUUGACUCAACACGGGGAAACUUACCAGGUCCAGACAUAGUAAGGAUUGACAGAUUGAAAGCUCUUUCUUGAUUCUAUGGGUGGUGGUGCAUGGCCGUUUUUAGUUGGUGGAGUGAUUUGUCUGGUUUAUUCCGUUAACGAACGAGACCUCAGCCUGCUAACUA
rnacentral:rRNA from 1 species